UACGUAGGGUGCAAGCGUUUAAUCGGAAUACUGGGCGUAAAGCGUGCGCAGGCGGUUUUGUAAGUCUGUCGUGAAAGCCCCCGGGCUCAACCUGGGAAUUGCGAUGGAGACUGCAAGGCUUGAAUCUGGCAGAGGGGGGGUAGAAUUCCACGUGUAGCAGUGAAAUGCGUAGAGAUGUGGAGGAACACCGAUGGCGAAGGCAGCCCCCCUGGGUCAAGAUUGACGCUCAUGCACGAAAGCGUGG
rnacentral:rRNA from 1 species